GACGAACGCUGGCGGCGUGCCUAACACAUGCAAGUCGAACGGAGAUUUUAUGGAAUGCGACUUCGGUCAAAUGAAAUUUAAUCUUAGUGGCGGACGGGUGAGUAACACGUGAGCAACCUGCCUUUCAGAGGGGAAUAACGGCUGGAAACGGUCGCUAAUACCGCAUAACAUACACUUUAGGCAUCUUUAGUGUAUCAAAGAUUUUAUCGCUGAAAGAUGGGCUCGCGUCUGAUUAGAUAGUUGGUGAGGUAACGGCUCACCAAGUCGACGAUCAGUAGCCGGACUGAGAGGUUGAACGGCCACAUUGGGACUGAGACACGGCCCAGACUCCUACGGGAGGCAGCAGUGGGGAAUAUUGCACAAUGGGCGCAAGCCUGAUGCAGCAACGCCGCGUGAGGGAAGACGGUUUUCGGAUUGUAAACCUUUGUCUUUGGUGAAGAACAUGACGGUAGCCAUGGAGGAAGCCACGGCUAACUACGUGCCAGCAGCCG
rnacentral:rRNA from 1 species